rnacentral:rRNA from 1 species
CCUACGGGGGGCAGCAGUGAGGAAUAUUGGUCAAUGGACGAGAGUCUGAACCAGCCAAGUAGCGUGAAGGAUGACUGCCCUAUGGGUUGUAAACUUCUUUUAUAUGGGAAUAAAAUGUUCCACGUGUGGGAUUUUGUAUGUACCAUAUGAAUAAGGAUCGGCUAACUCCGUGCCAGCAGCCGCGGUAAUACGGAGGAGCCGAGCGUUAUCCGGAUUUAUUGGGUUUAAAGGGAGCGUAGGUGGAUUGUUAAGUCAGUUGUGAAAGUUUGCGGCUCAACCGUAAAAUUGCAGUUGAAACUGGCAGUCUUGAGUACAGUAGAGGUGGGCGGAAUUCGUGGUGUAGCGGUGAAAUGCUUAGAUAUCACGAAGAACUCCGAUUGCGAAGGCAGUUCACUGGACUGCAACUGACACUGAGGCUCGAAAGUGUGGGUAUCAAACAGGAUUAGAUACCCUC